rnacentral:misc_RNA from 1 species
UAGCUGCGUUAAGCGGUGUGAAUUGCAGGACACGCCGAGCACUUGAUUUUCGAACGCAUAUUGCAGCCUCGGGUCUUUCCCGGGGCUUCGUCUGUCUGAGGGUCGGAAUGAAAAACAAACAUUAUGCAAGUCUGUUUAUCGAAAGUGUACCGCCUGUUGGUGUUGUAUCUUUCGUCGGACUCAUGAAAGUACGAUAACAGUUUCUGCGUUGAACGAUAAAACAGCGCAACACCACUGUUGUGUCUGCGUUCACUAAAGCGCGCUCCGUUAUCGGUACAAGACUGUAUUCACACGAAUACUAACUUUUUUCCAUGUCGACCUCAGAUCAGGCGAGAUGACCCGCUGAAUUUAA